CCGAUCCUACUUUUGAUCAGUUGCUCUCCAAAAAUGCUAGCAAAAAGACUGUUCCACGUGAUCGGUCAACAAAGAAACCCUGGCCACCUGCUAAAACAAAACGGUUAAACAAAACGGCCCAAAAGGCGACACAACAAGCAUCGCCUAUUCAUUCUAUGAGACCAGGGUACUUUCCACCUAUUUACUCAUCGUCGGUAUAUUAUCCUGUUCAAACAUGGAAUGGCACGAUGAUGAAUCCUUGGUACAUGUAUAAUCCCUUCGUCUAUCCCGACUGGGGGGCACCUCCAUUCUAUUCUUUUUGAUCCAUUGAUCAAAUGGUCAUGGCCGAGAAAGAUACAAUCCGAAACGGCCUUUAUAUUGGUGCUUUAUUGAAUAAUCUUCAUAUCGAAAAGCCGGUGACUUACAUCAGGUUUAGUUCAUAUGCUUUUGGUUCGUCAACCUUCACCAAAAGGCAGGGGGGCAUAUGUUCGAACCCAAAAUGACCGUGCGGACGGUCCGGCCCGGAGGCCGGACGGUCCGCGGUCCGGACCGUCCGCGGUGGUGGCGCGGACGGUCCGCUCGUGCGCAGAGUCAGUUAGGGUUCCUAGUUUCUCGCGGGAUUUGUUACCUAAAACCGCGGGAUUAACUCAGAAAUUAGUUGGAAGCGGAUCCAGACCUCCCCCUUUAUAUAGAUGAAGGGCUACGGCCGAUUAAAGCCCCCAACAAUCGAACAAAUCAAGUCUAUUACUCAUUUUUACCUUAUGCAUUAGGAGUAGUUCUAGUCUAGUUCUAGUUUAGCCCUAGUUUAGUAUUCCAAUCCCCAAAUUCUCCGCCUCUCCUCGACUCUACGUCGAUUAGAGGAGUCUAGGUCGGCCUGCCCGAGCCUAGACAACUCCUAGGAUCUCUCCUCCCCGACGGGGUCCCUCCCGGGAGCGAGAUCCAGGCGCCGUCGGCGAUCUACCGUCGCCCCUGCGCACGCGCGGACCGUCCGGCCCUAAGGCGCGGACCGUCCGGCCGUCAGGCAGGGAACCCGAGCUCCUG
rnacentral:lncRNA from 1 species